rnacentral:rRNA from 1 species
UACGAAGGGGGCUAGCGUUGCUCGGAAUUAUUGGGCGUAAAGGGCGCGUAGGCGGUCGGAUAAGUCUUGUGUGAAAUCUUCGGGCUCAACUCGAAGUCUGCACAGGAAACUAUCUGGCUUGAGUGUGGGAGAGGUGAGUGGAAUUCCUGGUGUAGCGGUGAAAUGCGUAGAUAUGCGGAGGAACACCGAUGGCGAAGGCAAUCCCGUGGGCCUGUACUGACGCUCAUGCACGAAAGCGUGGGGAGCAAACAGG